rnacentral:rRNA from 1 species
AGUGAACGCUGGCGGUAGGCCUAACACAUGCAAGUCGAACGGCAGCACAGGAGAGCUUGCUCUCUGGGUGGCGAGUGGCGGACGGGUGAGGAAUACAUCGGAAUCUACUCUGUCGUGGGGGAUAACGUAGGGAAACUUACGCUAAUACCGCAUACGACCUACGGGUGAAAGCAGGGGAUCUUCGGACCUUGCGCGAUUGAAUGAGCCGAUGUCGGAUUAGCUAGUUGGCGGGGUAAAGGCCCACCAAGGCGACGAUCCGUAGCUGGUCUGAGAAGAUGAUCAGCCACACUGGAACUGAGACACGGUCCAGACUCCUACGGGAGGCAGCAGUGGGGAAUAUUGGACAAUGGGCGCAAGCCUGAUCCAGCCAUACCGCGUGGGUGAAGAAGGCCUUCGGGUUGUAAGCCCUUUUGUUGGGAAAGAAAUCCAGCUGGCUAAUACCCGGUUGGGAUGACGGUACCCAAAGAAUAAGCACCGGCUAACUUCGUGCCAGCCGCCGCGGUAA